UAAAAAACGAUGAUUUGAGACAAGUAUGUUUUUAUAGACCGGCUUAAAGCGAUCUGGUGGCGGUGUGAGACCAGAAGCGGUGAAAAACAGAAAUCACUCAAGGAGUUUCAGUCCUGAAUGAAGUAAGGACUGGCGCGGCCAGGCGUUAAUGGAACGAGUGGAUAGAAAGCGUGUCUUUUUAUCAACAAGGGUGGUAACGCGAUAAUCUCGUCCCUUUU
rnacentral:ncRNA from 1 species